rnacentral:rRNA from 1 species
UACGAAGGGGACUAGCGUUGUUCGGAAUUACUGGGCGUAAAGCGCACGUAGGCGGCUUUGCAAGUCAGGGGUGAAAUCCCGGGGCUCAACCUCGGAACUGCCUUUGAUACUGCAAAUCUCGAGUCCGAUAGAGGUGGGUGGAAUUCCUAGUGUAGAGGUGAAAUUCGUAGAUAUUAGGAAGAACACCGGUGGCGAAGGCGGCCCACUGGAUCGGUACUGACGCUGAGGUGCGAAAGCGUGGGGAGCAAACAGG